rnacentral:rRNA from 1 species
GUGCCAGCCGCCGCGGUAAUACAGAGGGUGCGAGCGUUGUCCGGAAUUACUGGGCGUAAAGGGCGCGUAGGUGGCUUGAUAAGUAGGAGGUGAAAUCUCACGGCUCAACCGGGAGGCUGCCUUCUAGACUGUCAGGCUUGAGCAUGGUAGAGGCAGAUGGAAUUCCCGGUGUAGCGGUGGAAUGCGUAGAGAUCGGGAAGAACACCAGUGGCGAAGGCGGUCUGCUGGGCCAUAGCUGACACUGAGGCGCGAUAGCGUGGGGAGCAAACAGGAUUAGAAACCCUUGUAGUCC